UACGUAGGGGGCAAGCGUUGUUCGGAAUUACUGGGCGUAAAGGGCGCGUAGGCGGCACGGCAAGUCAGGAGUGAAAGGCCUGGGCUCAACCGAGGAACUGCUUUUGAGACUGCCGAGCUAGAGUGCAGAAGGGGCAACUGGAAUUCCCAGUGUAGCGGUGAAAUGCGUAGAUAUCGGGAGGAACACCAGUGGCGAAGGCGGCGACCUGGGCCAAUAUUGACGCUGAGGUGCGAAAGCGUGGGGAGCAAACAGG
rnacentral:rRNA from 1 species